AAGGUCCAGCUGCGAUUUGAGAUUGGCCACACCGUAGGUGAUGACCAAGACGGCGUGGUUGAGCUU
rnacentral:sRNA from 1 species